rnacentral:lncRNA from 1 species
GGAUUCAGAGCAGAGAAUUGCACCCUGGCAUGAUGCCUAUGCCAGCUGGACUGUGUGAUUUUUGUUCUUUAGUAGAAGGAUAACAUGACAUAGCAGGAAUAAUACUGCCUUUUCUUUCUGGCAUGGAUCAAGAGAAAAGAAAAUACAAGAAAACAGACAGAAGAUCCUAUCUGCGACAAUUAAGAGCACUCUAAGAGGAAAACACAUCCCACCACACAAGGCAAGGUACUUCUAUGGAAGGGUGAGCCCUCACAGAUGGAGCAAUGGGGCGCGCACACCUGAACAAGGGAGGGGAAGGAGUUCUUAUCCCUGAUGCAUGUGACCCCUGCUGCUGUGUCCUUCCCCUAUUGGCUAAGGUUAGACCACACAGCCUAAACUAAUUCCGAUUGGCUAAUUCAAAGAGAGCGACGGGGGCUUCUGACAGCUUUGGAGAUUGUGACAUUGGAAUAAAGGAAAAACGUACAGGACUCAUGAAGCGCUGAAAUGUUCACAAAUAUCAAGCAAAAGUCAAUGAAAUUUAUUUUGAGCUAUUUACAUCAUUUAAUAAUUGAGCAAGGUAUACUCCUAUGAACAAAAUUUGGAGCAUGUUUGUCUCUCUCUGCCUGGCGUCUUCAGAAUUUGGAAACUAGUUAGUCAUGGAAAUUUAUUUUGAGCUAUUUACAGCAUUUAAUAAUUGAGCAAGGUAUACUCCUAUGAACAAAAUUUGGAGCAUGUUUGUCUCUCUCUGUCUGCCUGGCAUCUACAGAAUUUGGAAACUAGUUGUGCUGUACUGCAUGAGAAUGCCUGCAUUUAGUAUGCGAACUGGAAUUGGCAAAGGACGAUGGCUGCUCUCCCGCUAACUUUAAAUAAGUCAUGUCACAAAUUGCAUUCGUUCCCAGAUUUCCUAAACUUUCCAGAGAAAAUGGUCUUCUCCCUGGCUCAGCAAGAAGAUGAACUUUAAACACUGAGAAACUGGUCAUCUCCCUGGCUCAACCAGAAGAUGAACUUUAAACACUACUCUCAAUGACUUGAUGUUCCCAUCACUACUCCUGUCAUAAAGGGAGGGGACUCAGAUAUUGAGAAUUUUAUGAUAGUGUGAACUGUCUGGUAUGUCAUUUAAGUAAGCCCGUUGCUGAAAUAUUUUCCAUGUUAUUAGAAAGAGCUGAAGAGAGGGAUUGAGAUGGCUUCUUUAUUUUUUGUCUUUUGGGAAUUAAAGGAACCUGGUUCAACAAGGGCCUACACCUAAGUCUCUUGUUGUACCAGAGUACAAUUUAGGACUGCUCCUGAGGAAGGAAUUAGCUAGAAAUCUAGAGAGUAAGGGUAACAGAUUUACAUAGAAUAACAGCCUCAGUAUUUUUGGUUCCUCUCCAGUAAAGAUCACAAAGAAUAUUGCUAAAUCGCUAAAACACCUUUGCAAUAACGUAAGGGCUUACAACUAUAUACCAAUGUAGCUCAGUUACUAAACUGGAGUAAACUAAUUUCUCUUGUGUAGAAAAAUUGGUUGGCUGUGGUUUUAUAGCAGAUCUGCAAUUAUUAAUAGUUAUGCCAAUAAUCGUUUAACAGUGCAUAUGUUAAUAUAUAUGGAAAGACAAUGUGUAUAGACAGAUGUGUAAAAUUGAAAAAUAAACAUAUAACAAGAGAGAAACAUCUAUCGAACAGACAAUAUACAUACACAUCAAACACAACAGCAGUUUUAGUGACCAUAAUAUUUAUUUCUCAUUUUUACAUUGCUUACUUUAGUGACAACUGAAAAUGACAGUUGGCAAUGCAGCUAACAGUUUCAAUAAAAGUAUAAAACAAAAGACUGUGUACAAAGCACCUGUCUUUCCGCUUUUGUAAUCUUCCGUUGGAAAAAAUUUACACACCUAAGUAACCAUCUGUUUUCUUCAAGAAAAAAUCAUUCUUAUUUCUCUCUCUCAUCUUGAAAACAGCUGUCAGCCAGGAGGGCAGAGCUGAAAUUUAUUGCCACAUCACAUGAAGCAUAGAACAGACUCCACUACUCCUUGAGAUUCAAAACUUUGCCUCUCACAAAGUUACCUUUUAUUUUCCUCUUGUUUGUCACUCAUCUCCCCUAGUGUGCUCUUUUUAUUUCUUUUACUAUUAAUAAUAAAAUCUGUGGAUGAC